rfam:Triticum aestivum genome assembly, contig: Triticum_aestivum_CS42_TGACv1_scaffold_288344_4AL
AAAGUACUUCCUCCGUUCGAAAAAGCUUGUUCCAAGCUUGUUCCUCAAAUGGAUGUAUCUCGCACUAACUUUGUGCUAGAUACAUCCAUUUGAGGGACAUGUUUUUUCGGACGGAUGGAGUAGAAG